rnacentral:rRNA from 1 species
CACUUCUAAGGAAGGCAGCAGGCGCGCAAAUUACCCAAUCCUGACUCAGGGAGGUAGUGACAAGAAAUAACAAUAAACCGGCUUAUGCCGGUUUAAUUGGAAUGAGUACAAUUUAAACAUCUUAACGAGGAACAAUUGGAGGGCAAGUCUGGUGCCAGCAGCCGCGGUAAUUCCAGCUCCAAUAGCGUAUACUAAAGUUGUUGCAGUUAAAAAGCUCGUAGUUGGAUUUCUGUGGGGACGGAGCGGCCGGCCGCAACUCGCGGUUCGAGCUAGCGCUUUCCCUACAUCCUGCCGCGAACCGUGCUACCAUUAGUUUGGUGGCGCCGGGGAUCGGCUCGAUUACUUUGAGAAAAAUAGAGUGUUCAAAGCAGGCCACACGCCUUGAAUAAGUUAGCAUGGAAUAAUAACUAAGGACUUCGGUUCUAUUUUGUUGGUGUUCGGGACUGAAGUAAUGAUUGAUAGGGACAGUUGGGGCGGUCUGUAUUCCAAAGCGAGAGGUGAAAUUCUUAGACCUUCGGAAGACAAACAGCUGCGAAAGCGUUCCGCAAGGAUGUUCCCUUUGAUCAAGAGCGAAAGUUGGGGGAUCGAAGACGAUCAGAUACCGUCGUAGUCUCAACUAUAAACUAUACCAGCUAGGGAUCGGCCAACGUUAUUUAAACCGACUUGGUCGGCACCUUAUGAGAAAUCAAAGCAUCUGGGUUCCGGGGGGAGUAUGGUCGCAAGGCUGAAACUUAAAGGAAUUGACGGAAGGGCACCACCAGCCGUGGAGCCUGUGGCUUAAUUUGACUCAACACGGGAAAACUUACCAGGUCCAGACAUAGUAAGGAUUGACAGAUUGAUAGCUCUUUCUUGAUUCUGUGGGUGGUGGUGCAUGGCCGUUCUUAGUUGGUGGAGUGAUUUGUCUGGUUAAUUCCGUUAACGAACGAGACCCCAGCCUGCUAAAUAGCGCGUGUGAGCUUUGCUCGCAGCGAGCUUCUUAGAGGGACUAUGAUGCGCGAUAGCACAUGGAAGUUUGGGGCAAUAACAGGUCUGUGAUGCCCUUAGAUGUUCUGGGCCGCACACGGGCUACACUGGCGCCUGCAACGAGCAUAUCAGCUGGCCCGAGAGGGUCUUGGCUAAUCUUUUGAACCGGCGCCGUGCUUGGGAUUGACCUUUGCAAUUGUUGGUCAUGCAACGAGGAAUGCCUUGUAAACGCGAGUCAUCAGCUCGCAUUGAAUACGUCCCUGCCCUUUGUACACACCGCCUGUCGCUCCUACCGAUGAAUGUUCCGAUGAAAUUUUCGGAGAGUGCCUGUGAACUUGGCUCUGCCUUGCGAACGGGAAGCUCAAAGUCACUUAAAUCUGAACAUUUC